GCCGCCGCGGUAACACCGGCGGCCCGAGUGGUGAUCGUGAUUAUUGGGUCUAAAGGGUCCGUAGCCGGUUUGGUCAGUCCUCCGGGAAAUCUGAUAGCUCAACUAUUAGGCUUUCGGGGGAUACUGCCAGACUUGGAACCGGGAGAGGUAAGAGGUACUACAGGGGUAGGAGUGAAAUCUUGUAAUCCCUGUGGGACCACCUGUGGCGAAGGCGUCUUACCAGAACGGGUUCGACGGUGAGGGACGAAAGCUGGGGGCACGAACCGGAUUAGAUACCCGGGUAGUCCCAGCCGUAAACGAUGCUCGCUAGGUGUCAGGCAUGGCGCGACCGUGUCUGGUGCCGCAGGGAAGCCGUGAAGCGAGCCACCUGGGAAGUACGGCCGCAAGGCUGAAACUUAAAGGAAUUGGCGGGGGAGCACAACAACGGGUGGAACGCCUGCGGUUUAAUUGGACUCAACGCCGGACAACUCACCGGGGGCGACAGCAAUAUGUAGGCCAAGCUGAAGACUUUGCCUGAAUCGCUGAGAAGAGGUGCAUGG
rnacentral:rRNA from 1 species